CUUGAUCGACCCCAACAGCAGCGGACGGUCGACGGGACGCUCCUGCCCGUACGUGGCCAGCAACGCCUGCGCCUC
rnacentral:antisense_RNA from 1 species